GAAAGUUGUUUCUUGGGAAACAUUUUUUUAAUUUUUAUAAUAAACAAAACACAAUAAAAACAAUAAAACCUAGAUUUUGAGCAUAUUUUCUUCAACUUGAAACUUCCAAUUAUAAAGAACAAAAAUCUCAGCCAAGUUUUUUGUUGAAUCAAAUAAUAAAGAAGAAAAAGUUAAUAAAGAUAUGUAUUACAAUUUACAAAAUUUAUACAUCUAGAAUCUAUAUGUAUCUAUAAA
rnacentral:lncRNA from 1 species